ACCCCAAGUUAGGCGUGAUCAAUUGCUGAGUUUAAGCAUAUCAAUAAGCGGAGGA
rnacentral:rRNA from 1 species